GGGCGUUCACCACGGUAUGAUUCAUGACUGGGGUGAAGUCGUAACAAGGUAACCGUAGGGGAACCUGCGGUUGGAUCACCUCCUUA
rnacentral:rRNA from 1 species